CUGAUGCAGCAACGCCGCGUGAGGGACGACGGCCUUCGGGUUGUAAACCUCUUUUAGCAGGGAAGAAGCGAAAGUGACGGUACCUGCAGAAAAAGCACCGGCUAACUACGUGCCAGCAGCCGCGGUAAUACGUAGGGUGCAAGCGUUAUCCGGAAUUAUUGGGCGUAAAGAGCUCGUAGGCGGUUUGUCGCGUCUGCUGUGAAAACCCGAGGCUCAACCUCGGGCCUGCAGUGGGUACGGGCAGACUAGAGUGCGGUAGGGGAGAUUGGAAUUCCUGGUGUAGCGGUGGAAUGCGCAGAUAUCAGGAGGAACACCGAUGGCGAAGGCAGAUCUCUGGGCCGUAACUGACGCUGAGGAGCGAAAGGGUGGGGAGCAAACAGGCUUAGAUACCCUGGUAGUCCACCCCGUAAACGUUGGGAACUAGUUGUGGGGUCCAUUCCACGGAUUCCGUGACGCAGCUAACGCAUUAAGUUCCCCGCCUGGGGAGUACGGCCGCAAGGCUAAAACUCAAAGGAAUUGACGGGGACCCGCACAAGCGGCGGAGCAUGCGGAUUAAUUCGAUGCAACGCGAAGAACCUUACCAAGGCUUGACAUAUACGAGAACGCUGCAGAAAUGUAGAACUCUUUGGA
rnacentral:rRNA from 1 species